UACGUAGGGGGCAAGCGUUGUCCGGAAUUAUUGGGCGUAAAGAGCGUGUAGGCGGUCCGGUAAGUCGGCUGUGAAAGUCCAGGGCUCAACCCUGGGAUGCCGGUCGAUACUGCCGGACUAGAGUUCGGAAGAGGCGAGUGGAAUUCCCGGUGUAGCGGUGAAAUGCGCAGAUAUCGGGAGGAACACCUAUGGCGAAGGCAGCUCGCUGGGACGUUACUGACGCUGAGGCGCGACAGCGUGGGGAGCAAACAGG
rnacentral:rRNA from 1 species